rnacentral:tRNA from 7 species
CAGUUGGUUAGAAUACCUGCCUGUCACGCAGGGGGUCGCGGGUUCGAGCCCCGUCCGUUCCGCCA